GAAAAUAAUCACAAAUUAGCGAAAUAUAUUGCGAUUUAAUAUAAGCUACAUUUCGCAAUAUAUUUCGCUAAUUUGUGAUUAUUUUCGUUAAAU